UAUGAUCCUUAAUGCACAUGCACCUGAUCUCUGAUCUCAGAAGCUAAGCACUGUUGGGUCUGGUUAGUACUUGGAUGGGAGGAAAAUUAUAAAAAUUUCCUAA
ensembl:rRNA 5S_rRNA 5S ribosomal RNA